AGAGGAAAUAAAGAAUGCACGUCUAGUUGCUAAUCCUGGUUGUUAUCCAACUUCUGUUCAACUUCCUCUUGUCCCAUUCAUAAAGGCUAGUCUUAUUGAGCUUAAAAAUAUUAUCAUUGAUGCUAAAUCUGGUGUGAGUGGAGCAGGACGUAGUGCCAAAGAAAAUUUAUUGUUCACUGAAGUAACUGAAGGUCUCAAUUCUUAUGGUGUUACCUGACAUCGCCAU